UUCAUCUUUGUCAAGUGUUUCAUCAAUUGCCUCUGACAUCAUCUCUAUCUGUAAACACACAACAUUAUAAACAAACCAAACAUCUCACCAAAUAACAUGUGGGGGAUGGAUGUAUCACUUACCGUCAUGUCUAGCUGUGCAGACUGUUUCUGGAAAUCCUUAAUCACUUUGGCUUGUUUCGUUGGUGCCAUUUGCUGAAAAUACAAGUCAUAGCUUUGGUUGCACCCUUCAUACCAGAAGAAAUGGAAGUGCUGGCAUACAAAGCCUAACCAACGCGAACAGAGAUUUAGCUCAGGACUUUUAUAAUAGAACUUAGCUUAGCUGAUGUCGAAUGUAGAGAAAGUAAACCUGUGUGUGAGUGGUGACACCCCUAAUUUGAGCACGGCUUCCCUGUAAGUUUGUAAUCUGUUGCCUCAAUCGAACUAGUUGACGUGCUAAAA